CCGGGAGGGGGCUCCAGCGGUGGCAGAGGCGGCGGGACGCGCGGCCCCGCUGCUGGCCUGGCUGCGCUCCCAGACCCGCCCCUUCCAUUUGCCCGCCAGGAUCCAAGGAAGCGAGGGGAAUUGAGGUUGGAUGAGGAGAAGGUUGGACUUCUGAAGAGAAGGAAGCAGGUGAAUGGGUGUCAUCUUCAACUUGAGCACUUUACCGUAAGGAAACAGGCCAGGAGAAGUGGCUGACUAGGGUCAGAGCUGGGAUUUGAACACAGGAAUAUCACAGCACAAUCUGCUGUGUGAUAGGCCCCUUCCUAUCUCCAGGACUCAGCUUUCUCAUCUGUUGAAUGGGAAUGCUAACUCUGAACCUCGAAGAUCCAAGUUGGGACUUCUUGCUGCCCGGAGGCCACGUCCCCACCCAGAAGCCUAGAACAUCUCUGUGGGCCUGGGCAGGAGAGAAGGGCAGAUGUAGAUGUGACUGCUCCGGGGGCGGGUGGGGGGUGGGGGCGCUGCCGGCAGGCACACAAAAACAACUAAUAAAUCAGGA